CUAAAGGUGGAGGUUUAUUUAAGAUGUGUAGCACAAGAAUUUAUUUUGGAGAAUACACUUUAUUUUCCUUUAGAAGCAUUGCUGCCACACGGCCCAUAAGCAAUUUGAAGAUGCUGCCACAUUAUAAGAACCCACGACCCACACUUAAAAGAUUAUGCUGCAUGGUUAAAUGAAGGAGCUAGAUGCUGAUCCACCAGAGGGCCCAUCAGCACGGUCAGCAAUUCUUCUUGGCAGCAUUUGAAGCCAGCAUACCACGGUGCAGCAGAAAGAAAAUUGGCAACACGGCCUUGGCCCAACUUGUUAUUUUANCUGACCCACACAUCAGUAGAAAUAUGCAAGCAGCUUGGCAGCAAAUUUGGAGCGUCUAGCGUUGAAGAAAAAGCUGGUUCACUAAUUUGUUUGGAGGAAAAUACACCACAGCCCAAUUGUUUAGCACACAACACAUGCACAUUCAGAGGUGGCCACGCUGGCAGUAGGGCACACAGUAGAGUUACCUCAGGAUUGCUUCAUUAAAAAGAAGCUGCAGCCGCCACACUCGGGGGGAGGCUCUCUCGGCACAAUUUUUUUUUCAAUCUCAAUGCUGAAACGUUUUUGGAGAGAGUUUUUCUUGUUGGAACAUGUUUAACUUUUUGCAUGUUGGAUGAAUGGAAAGGAGCANCCCUUGUUUAUUAUUCAUUAAAGAUGAAAUAGUUUUUAACAUUACGCUUUAUUGAUGUGUUGAUUGAAUGAAGUGCUAAUAGGAUUCAUGAUAAUUCACGGUGUUGUUUUCAAAUUAUGAAGAAGGUGUCACGGUCCAGGUGCAGUAACUCACGUUGCAU
rnacentral:lncRNA from 1 species